rnacentral:miRNA from 1 species
CUUUGAGGCUUCGAAGCCAGGCAUUGACUCCUCUCUAGCUGUGGAAGUCCUAGAUGGCAGUUUUCUUCCAAUACAAGGCUGUUUCA